AGGACCAAUGGCAUGGGGCCGGGCAGGGGACUCUGGGCUUGGAGCUCUGAGGGAGAAAUUCUGUCUACAACUCCCAGCCCAGACUUAGCUGGUGGGAGGUGCUGGGGCUCUGGGCGUCCUGGAAAAUUCUCACUGCCUCUCAAGCCCGGACAGGGAGGAGAGAACAGCAGACAGACCUGGCACAAUCAGACUUUUACAACCACAGGAGUGUGUCCUGGGGGGCAGGUAAGGGAAGGUAUGACUUUAACCCCAAUGGGCAGAUGGUGAAACUGAGGCUCAAGAGGUUUGGAAACAUGGCCGGGCUCCAAAGCCCAGGCUCUGAAAACAUCACAUGGCCUAUCAGGUUUCUCCUGCCCAGGGGUCCGAAGAAGCUAGAAGUCCCCCUAACUAAGCAGCCCCUGACUUCAGCAGAGCAAUGAACUGAGCCAAACUGUGGCCACUAAAGGGGGCUAAGGAGGAGCUGACCCCACCCCAGUUCAGAAGGGGCAGCCACUGCCCUCUGAUUCCAAAUUCAAUAGCCACCCCCAGUCAUUACUGAGAGCCUGCCAUAGAAGGUGGCUUGUGACUGCCACAUCUAUACCACGAAGGAGGGCUCUGAGGCCAGAAAAGUUCACAGAUGAGCCCAAAACCACACAGCCAAUAGGAGGCAGCAGUUCGGAUGCCAGAGGCCGGCUCGCCACUGUUGGGUGGCACUGCCUCCCUGAGCAGGCCCGGGGCCAGGAAAGCCCAGCAAACCUCUUCUAGUCCCUACACCUCAGCCUAGCCACAGAAACAGAGUGGGCGUAGAUUAGAGUCCAAAGCUCUCACACACUGAGGACCCCUUCGGGAAUCUGAUGAAAGAGACAAUUCUCUUUCCCAGAAGCAGAACAUUGCAUAAACAAUUUCCAGGGGAUCGCUGAACCCCAAAGAGCCCUCACAUGAAAAAGUCAGGGCUGGAUCCUCAAGUGGCAUUACAGCAUCCCCCACCAGUGUUCCGUGACAACAGAAGAGCUCUUUACUCCUUAAGCUAAGAGGUGCCAGGACCGACUGAGGAGGCCCCCAGAUCUGGGUCAGACCUGUGAUGGCUCCAUUAUGAUCAGAGGGAUGCGGCCCCUCACUGCUGAGCCCAGGAUCCCACCGAGAAGCCUGGCUGUGCAGGUCUCUGGACCCCAGUUCCCAAGCACUGCAUUCAAGCACUUUCCCACUCGAUGGAUGUGAGGUAUUUAACGUCCAUGAUAGCCCUGUGAAGUGGGCAGGACGCAGCAGGGAUACUUUCCUACUGUGUGGUGGGAAAAGUGAGUCCCACAUAAGGAAGAUGAGCUGCUCAACUGGAGACAGA
rnacentral:lncRNA from 1 species